GACGUAGGGGGCCAGCGUUGUUCGGAAUUACUGGGUGUACAGGGUUCGUAGGCGGUGUGGCAAGUUGGGAGUGAAAUCUCUGGGCUCAACCCAGAGGCUGCUUUCAAAACUGCCGCGCUCGAGUGCGAGAGAGGUCAGUGGAAUUGCAGGUGUAGCGGUGAAAUGCGUAGAUAUCUGCAGGAACACCCGUGGCGAAGGCGGCGGACUGGAUCGCAACUGACGCUGAGGAACGAAAGCUAGGGGAGCAAACAGG
rnacentral:rRNA from 1 species